rnacentral:rRNA from 1 species
GGGCCCGCACAAGCAGCGGAGCGUGUUGGUUUAAUUCGAUGUUACACGAAGAACCUUACCAGGGUUUGACAUGCAAGUGGUAGGAAACCGAAAGGUGACCGACCCUUUCGGGGAGCUUGCACAGGUGCUGCAUGGCUGUCGUCAGCUCGUGUCGUGAGAUGUUCGGUUAAGUCCGCUAACGAGCGCAACCCUCGCUGUGUGUUAUAUGUGUCACACGGGACUGCCGGUCUUAAGCCGGAGGAAGGUGGGGAUGAUGUCAAGUCAGCAUGGCCUUUAUAUCCUGGGCUACACACACGCUACAAUGGCCAACACAAUAGGUUGCUAAGCCGCGAGGGGGAGCUAAUCCCACAAAGCCAGUCGUAGUCCGGACCGUAGUCUGCAACUCGACUACGUGAAGUCGGAAUCGCUAGUAAUCGUGGAUCAGAAUGUCACGGUGAAUACGUUCCCGGGUCUU